rnacentral:rRNA from 1 species
GACGAACGCUGGCGGCGUGCUUAACACAUGCAAGUCGAACGGAAAGGCCCUGCUUUUGUGGGGUGCUCGAGUGGCGAACGGGUGAGUAACACGUGAGUAACCUGCCCUUGACUUUGGGAUAACUUCAGGAAACUGGGGCUAAUACCGGAUAGGAGCUCCUGCUGCAUGGUGGGGGUUGGAAAGUUUCGGCGGUUGGAGAUGGACUCGCGGCUUAUCAGCUUGUUGGGGGGUAGUGGCUUACCAAGGCUUUGACGGGUAGCCGGCCUGAGAGGGUGACCGGCCACAUUGGGACUGAGAUACGGCCCAGACUCCUACGGGAGGCAGCAGUGGGGAAUAUUGCACAAUGGGCGGAAGCCUGAUGCAGCAACGCCGCGUGCGGGAUGACGGCCUUCGGGUUGUAAACCGCUUUCGCCUGUGACGAAGCGUGAGUGACGGUAAUGGGUAAAGAAGCACCGGCUAACUACGUG